rnacentral:rRNA from 1 species
GUCCACACCGUAAACGAUGAGAGCUAGUUGUUGGCAAGUAUACUUGUCGGUGACGCAGCUAACGCAUUAAGCUCUCCGCCUGGGGAGUACGGCCGCAAGGUUAAAACUCAAAGAAAUUGACGGGGGCCCGCACAAGCGGUGGAGCAUGUGGUUUAAUUCGAAGCAACGCGCAGAACCUUACCUACCCUUGACAUCCUGUGACAGAUCCAGAGAUGGAUUGUUCUUCGGACACAGUGACAGGUGCUGCAUGGCU